GAUGAACGCUGGCGGCGUGCCUAAUACAUGCAAGUCGAGCGAACAGACGAGGAGCUUGCUCCUCUGACGUUAGCGGCGGACGGGUGAGUAACACGUGGAUAACCUACCUAUAAGACUGGGAUAACUUCGGGAAACCGGAGCUAAUACCGGAUAAUAUAUUGAACCGCAUGGUUCAAUAGUGAAAGACGGUUUUGCUGUCACUUAUAGAUGGAUCCGCGCCGCAUUAGCUAGUUGGUAAGGUAACGGCUUACCAAGGCGACGAUGCGUAGCCGACCUGAGAGGGUGAUCGGCCACACUGGAACUGAGACACGGUCCAGACUCCUACGGGAGGCAGCAGUGGGGAAUCUUCCGCAAUGGGCGAAAGCCUGACGGAGCAACGCCGCGUGAGUGAUGAAGGUCUUCGGAUCGUAAAACUCUGUUAUUAGGGAAGAACAAAUGUGUAAGUAACUAUGCACGUCUUGACGGUACCUAAUCAGAAAGCCACGGCUAACUACGUG
rnacentral:rRNA from 1 species